rnacentral:rRNA from 1 species
AUUGAACGCUGGCGGCAUGCCUUACACAUGCAAGUCGAACGGUAACAGGUCUUCGGAUGCUGACGAGUGGCGAACGGGUGAGUAAUACAUCGGAACGUGCCCGAGAGUGGGGGAUAACGAAGCGAAAGCUUUGCUAAUACCGCAUACGAUCUCAGGAUGAAAGCAGGGGACCGCAAGGCCUUGCGCUCACGGAGCGGCCGAUGGCAGAUUAGGUAGUUGGUGGGAUAAAAGCUUACCAAGCCGACGAUCUGUAGCUGGUCUGAGAGGACGACCAGCCACACUGGGACUGAGACACGGCCCAGACUCCUACGGGAGGCAGCAGUGGGGAAUUUUGGACAAUGGGCGCAAGCCUGAUCCAGCCAUGCCGCGUGCAGGAUGAAGGCCUUCGGGUUGUAAACUGCUUUUGUACGGAACGAAAAGACUCUGGUUAAUACCUGGGAUCCAUGACGGUACCGUAAGAAUAAGCACCGGCUAACUACGUGCCAGCAGCCGCGGUAAUACGUAGGGUGCGAGCGUUAAUCGGAAUUACUGGGCGUAAAGCGUGCGCAGGCGGUUAUGUAAGACAGAUGUGAAAUCCCCGGGCUCAACCUGGGAACUGCAUUUGUGACUGCGUAGCUAGAGUACGGCAGAGGGGGAUGGAAUUCCGCGUGUAGCAGUGAAAUGCGUAGAUAUGCGGAGGAACACCGAUGGCGAAGGCAAUCCCCUGGGCCUGUACUGACACUCAUGCACGAAAGCGUGGGGAGCAAACAGG